UCUCCUGUAGUACAGAGGUUAGUAUGGGGGCUUGUCAACUUGUGUUGCAGUCCGCCCUUGACCCGGGUUCGAAUCCCGGCGGGAGAG